rnacentral:rRNA from 1 species
UACGUAGGGGGCAAGCGUUGUCCGGAAUCAUUGGGCGUAAAGAGCGUGUAGGCGGCCCGAUAAGUCCGCUGUGAAAGUCCAGGGCUCAACCCUGGGAUGCCGGUGGAUACUGUCGGGCUCGAGUCCGGAAGAGGAGUGUGGAAUUCCUGGUGUAGGCGGUGAAAUGCGCAGAUAUCAGGAGGAACACCGGUGGCGAAGGCGGUUCUCUGGGCCUGUACUGACGCUGAGGAGCGAAAGCGUGGGGAGCGAACAGG